UCGAUCCAAGGCCACUAUAAUUAUCACACUUCACCCAUUCGAGAGAAAGGGGAGAGGAUAUUGACGCUGAGAGGCUGUCAAUGAGAGAAUCAAAGAAAAACUCAUUGCGUCUAAGUAUUAUCGAGAGAAUUCGUUUGAUUAUCGAUCACCUGUCGAACCACUAUCGAGAAAUUCAUCAAUCCUUUGUCGAAGAAAGCUAACCAAAUGCCAAAGAAAGUUUAUCUUUGUCGAAGAAAGCCAAUCCAAGAACUGUCGAGUGUUAUCAAGAACCGCGAUCGAGAAAAUCCAUCUGAUCAUCGAAAAACCAUUAAUCCGCGACCGAGAGACACGAUCAGUGAAGCUAUCAAGAAGUCGAUCCGAGAGCCGUCAUGAGCUGCGAGCGAGAAUCGUCGAGAGAUCUAGAUCAUCAUCGAGGAAAGGCGACCAUCAGAGCUGGUUUCCGACCAAGACCCGCGAACUAGUUUCCACCUCGAAAAUUAUGUUCAAAGGUUAGAUUCGGUUUAGAGAUGGAGGAAGGGAGGUUAUGCUGCGAGAUAAGGAAGAGGAAGGCUAGUCCAAGAUCAAGGUUGCAUUGCAUGUUCAAGAUGGCCGAGGUUCAGUGUCCGAGAGGCGUUGCAUGUCCGCGAUCAGUGGAGCAGACCAAGGAUCUUCAGCUUAAUCUAUGCUAUCAUCGAGCAGUUGCAUGUUUGUUGGUUUGCAUGUUACUCAAGAGCUACUAAAAACAUUUUGAGUAAUAACAGAGCUCGUGAGCUACUCAAGAGUAAAAACAUUUUGAGUUACUCAAGAGUUGUAUUUUUCACUCAAAAGUGAAAA